UACGGGGGGGGCAAGCGUUGUUCGGAAUUACUGGGCGUAAAGGGCUCGUAGGUGGCCAACUAAGUCAGACGUGAAAUCCCUCAGCUUAACUGGGGAACUGCGUCUGAUACUGGAUGGCUUGAGAUUGGGAGGGGGAUGCGGAAUUCCAGGUGUAGCGGUGAAAUGCGUAGAUAUCUGGAGGAACACCGGUGGCGAGGGCGGCAUCCUGGACCGACACUGACGCUGAGGCGCGAAAGCGUGGGGAGCAAACAGG
rnacentral:rRNA from 1 species